rnacentral:rRNA from 1 species
AGCGUUGUUCGGAAUUACUGGGCGUAAAGCGCACGUAGGCGGCGAUUUAAGUCAGAGGUGAAAGCCCGGGGCUCAACCCCGGAACUGCCUUUGAGACUGGAUUGCUUGAAUCUUGGAGAGGUGAGUGGAAUUCCGAGUGUAG